UACGUAGGGGGCAAGCGUUGUCCGGAUUUAUUGGGCGUAAAGAGCGUGUAGGCGGCUGGGUAGGUCCGUUGUGAAAACUCGAGGCUCAACCUCGAGACGCCGAUGGAAACCCUCCAGCUAGAGUCCGGAAGAGGAGAGUGGAAUUCCUGGUGUAGCGGUGGAAUGCGCAGAUAUCAGGAGGAACACCAAUAGCGAAGGCAGCUCGCUGGGACGGUACUGACGCUAAGGCGCGAAAGCGUGGGGAGCGAACAGG
rnacentral:rRNA from 1 species